rnacentral:misc_RNA from 1 species
AAGUCGUAACAAGGUUUCCGUAGGUGAACCUGCGGAAGGAUCAUUCAUAAUAAGUGUUUUAUGGCACUUUUAAAAAUCCAUAUCCACCUUGUGUGAAAUGUCUGUUGCUUUUCCUCUUUUCCUUCGGGAUAAAGAAAAGCGACUCAACAUCAACUCUUACUGUAAAUACUUUGUCUGAAAACUAUUAUGAAUAAACUAAUUCAAAUACAACUUUCAACAACGGAUCUCUUGGCUCUC